GACGAACGCUGGCGGCGUGCCUAAUACAUGCAAGUAGGACGCACAGUCUAUACCGUAGCUUGCUACACCAUAGGCUGUGAGUUGCGAACGGGUGAGUAACGCGUAGGUAACCUGCCUAUUAGAGGGGGAUAACUAUUGGAAACGAUAGCUAAUACCGCAUAACAGUAUGUAACACAUGUUAGAUGCUUGAAAGAUGCAAUUGCAUCGCUAGUAGAUGGACCUGCGUUGUAUUAGCUAGUAGGUAGGGUAAUGGCCUACCUAGGCGACGAUACAUAGCCGACCUGAGAGGGUGAUCGGCCACACUGGGACUGAGACACGGCCCAGACUCCUACGGGAGGCAGCAGUAGGGAAUCUUCGGCAAUGGGGGGAUCCCUGACCGAGCAACGCCGCGUGAGUGAAGAAGGUUUUCGGAUCGUAAAGCUCUGUUGUUAAGGAAGAACGAGUGUGAGAAUGGAAAGUUCAUACUGUGACGGUACUUAACCAGAAAGGGACGGCUAACUACGUG
rnacentral:rRNA from 1 species